GCUUCCAUCAAAAGUCAGAAAGCUUCAAUUAAAAGUCAGAUUUUGCUGAUAUGGUUAGUGUUACAUCAAAGACUGUAUUUCAGAGCACAAUACAUUUUGCUCUGUUUGUUUUGGUACUUUACAGUGAGAUUGUUGAGCUUUUGAUGACAAAAUUUGUUAAAUGUCUUAGCUAUAGCCAUUUAUAAUUUGUCCGGAAGCUGUGUUAUUUGGUCCACAGACUACAUGUGAUCAAAAUCUUACAAAAAGCUUCCAAAUGGCUGUCUUGAACUUGCUGUUAUGGUCAGAUUGUGCUCAAAGUGCUUGGAGAUGAAGAACAGUUAUUAAAGUACUGUUCUGUUUUUAAAAAUGUUCAUGUUCUUUUAAUGGUUUUGUUUUAAAUAUACUUCCUUUUCAAUCACUCUACUUAUGCAUCUUCUCUGAUACCACUGGACCAACUUGUAACAAACUUGGCCAAAAUCUACUUGUGAUUGUCUUAUUUCAAAGUUAUGUCCAAUGUUUACACUUAUUAAUCAUUAAGGCUGUAACAUGUAUUAUAUAAUAUUGGGACAAUAAAAAAGACAGACA
rnacentral:lncRNA from 1 species